AAUUAAGAAGCUAACCCCCCAGCCUUCAGUUUCGACCUGAAAGACGACUCCUUUGUCCUUAAUUA
rnacentral:tRNA from 1 species